rnacentral:tRNA from 1 species
GGGCACGUAGCUCAGUCCGGACAGAGCGCCGGACUUCUAAUCCGGUGGUCGUGGGUUCGAAUCCCAUCGUGCCCG